AAGCUCGCUCGAGCUCGGCUCGUUUCCACCCCUACUCCCACUCCGUCUCCUCCGAGCACUUCUAGGGCUUUUCUCUUCUCUACAUUUUUCUAGGAUUUCCGAACUCAUCCACAUCAUCUUGACCUCGCACAAGAUCGCCGCAUUGGGAGGAAUUGUUCGUCGACGUGAUCCCUCUUGACCUCACAUGAUCGCCGAUUUGGAAGGGAUCGUUCGUCGACCUUCGUGUUCCCUCUUUAUCACUGCUUUUUUGAGCUGAGAUGCUCAGAACUUUCAGACUAGACCAAGAUUGAAUUUCUGUUGAAAUCCAGUGGAACAAAUGCCAAUUCAAGACUUCAGUUGACGACCGCUGAGAGUGGGACAAUUUGGCUCGAUCAAGUAUCAGUUAUGCCAUUAGACACAUACAUGGAACAUCUGAAUCUUCUCAAGAGAAUGUGAUUGCAAUGGAAAACAAGAUUUAUAUCGAAGUCAUAAGAAAAGAGUAUGGAGGCCGAGUGGGAGGGCUAGGAUUAAUCCCAUUCGAAAGUUGUGUGUGUUAUAACUCGGAAUCAACGGAGGAAGUGCAAAAGUUAAGAGAGGAAGUGCAAGAGAAUAAAAAAAUGGUUUCUCAAUUGCAGUCUCAAUUAGCUGCUGUUAUGAAAUUUAUAAGACAAAAAAUGCCAGAUUAAUUGUAACCUUGGUGGCAGACGUCAGGAUGUGUUCGGGCACCUGCACCUGCUAUACGUCAGCAUCAUCAAAUCCCUCCAGUGAUAUUUGAUUAUUUUUUUUGUAUCAUUUUAUGUUUUUGAGCUACUGUGUCCUUUCUAAAAAAUUAUUUUUGAAUAUUAUAGUUUUUUAUCAUUUUAUUGAUGUUGAGGAUGUUAGGAACAAUUAAUAUUUUGGUUUCAUUCGA